UUCAUCCUUUUGCUGGCACAAGGGGUAGGUGGCUGAACUGGAAAUCCAGAGGCCUACACCAUUCUGAUACCCCAGGGUUCACUUCUUGCCAUAGCAGAUGCAAUAAUUUAAAUUCACUUAAUAAUCUGGAACUUCACAGAACAUACGUUAGUAACCAUGGUCAGGUAACUGUAAAUACGCAUCUGGUUAUCAGCUGUUAUUCAAGGGAGGAAAUCUGCUUUCUCUCCACUCAGAUUCCAGGUACACAGCAAAUGUUUUUCAAUCUUAACUACCCUCUGUGAUGGCCCAGCUACAUCAAUGGAUCAAGCUUAAUCAGCUUGACGGAGGCAUAGAAUCAGGUCACACUGAAGUCACUUCCAGCCUAACCGACCUUGAAAAAUCUUUCUCAUAGAGAUCUGAGGACAAGUAUUCUAAAUUCAGAAAGCUGUCCUAGAUACCAAUUGAACAAUAGCCUGACAUAGUUAUACAUGUAGACAAGGUGACAGGUUCCUCCAUUACAAUCUAUGGGCACAUUUUUAUCAAACAGAGAAUAUAAUACAAAGAUGUAAAAGAGGAGGAGAGUCACCUUGGAACUUCAGAACAUUAAUGUCAGAGUCAGUCUAGUGUCACAGCCUCAGGGCAAACAUUGUCCAGAAAACUAUCUACUAUCAUCGAUCUGCUGAAGAAUCAGUUACUGCCUUGUUAUGUCCAACCAGACAGAAAGUAGUAAAGGCAGAGGUUGUGCUCGGCAUAGAAGACUUCAGUGACCAUCUCGGGAAUGUUUCACCAACUCCCCCAUCGUUGGCCACUUCCCAAAGGGCACAGCUUCCAAACUGGGACUUUGGCAGUUAGUGAGUGAAGCAACGUAGACGAAAGACCUACAUGAGGUUAAAGAUUACCUUUUUCACAAACGAGAGAAAAUCUGUAGAUGUUGGAAGUCCAAGCAACACAUACAGAAGGCUGGAGGAGCUCAGCAGGCCAGGCAGCUUCUCUGGAAAAGAGUACAGUUGAUGUUUCAGGCUGAGACCCUUCAUCUAUUUAUUUUAUUUAUUUAUUGAGAUACUGCUUGGAACAGACCCUUCCAGGACUUUGUCUCCAGAUUUUGCCUCUGGGUUUACACCUGAAGCCUUCUCCAUGAGUAGGUACAGCUGCAAAGCAGCAUGGGUUUGAGAUCGGAGUUCUCCUUCUCCUAGAUGAGCUACCGACCACGGUUGACAAGCCCCACCUACCCCAGGAGGGAUUGUUGCACUAAAGGCUGCAGCUGCUCUGAAAUGGUGCAUGUAAAAUUAACUCCAUUAUUCCACCGCGGGUGUCAUGAGGUUUGACCUGAGACAGCUACUACACCUGGUGCUACCUCGGAUUCCUUGCAAUGUUUUCCUCCAUCAAAUCAUUUCAUGAACUGGACCAACAAUGAUCAAUGCUGAUCCUGUGAAGCAGGAGCUCUCCCCCCUUUCUUUGAACGGGCAUCAGGAAUCUCUUCAUGUACUUAUCCGCAAUUCUGAGACUUGUGGAGCUAACCCUGCUAUUCAAUCAAAACACAACUGCUUCUUGCAGGUCAUCAGCUGGCAUCAGCUAUUCCAUUCAUAACAUCAGACUCGUGGUGUAAGUGCCAGGUCAAUCGAAAUGCAGAUGUGUUUGCUUUUCACUACAGUCAAACAAAAACGCCGGAAGCACUCCAUGCUCCCUGCCUUGAGUUAAACCUAGAUCAAUAGCAUACAUUGCCUGUUUUCAGGAGCAAUCUAAUUUA